rnacentral:tRNA from 2 species
GCCCGCGUGAUGGAAUGGUAGACAUAGGGGACUUAAAAUCCCUAGGCCUUUGUGCCGUGCCGGUUCGAGUCCGGCCGCGGGUACCA